rnacentral:rRNA from 1 species
UACAGAGGCCCCAAGCGUUAUCCGGAAUCACUGGGCGUAAAGGGUGUCGAGGCGGUCAUGUUAGUCGUUCGUAAAAUCCCUGGGCUCAACCUAGGGCGCGCGAGCGAAACGGCAUGACUUGAGGUUGGGAGAGGUGCGUGGAACUCACGGUGUAGGGGUGAAAUCCGUUGAUAUCGUGGGGAACACCAAAGGCGAAGGCAGCGCACUGGCCCAAAUCUGACGCUCACACACGAAAGCUAGGGUAGCGAACGGG